rnacentral:rRNA from 1 species
GUAGGCGGUUUAAUAAGUGAAUAGUGAAACCUGGUGGCUCAACCAUACAGACUAUUAUUCAAACNUGUUAAACUCGAGAAUGGUAGAGGUAACUGGAAUUUCUNGUGUAGGAGUGAAAUCCGUAGAUAUUAGAAGGAACACCGAUGGCGUAGGCAGGUUACUGGGCCAUUUCUGACGCUAAGGCACGAAAGCGUGGGGAGCGAACCGGAUUAGAUACCCGGGUAGUCCACGCCGUAAACGAUGGAUACUAGCUGUUGGAGGUAUCGACCCCUUCAGUAGCGAAGCUAACGCGUUAAGUAUCCCGCCUGUGGAGUACGGCCGCAAGGCUAAAACAUAAAGGAAUUGACGGGGACCCGCACAAGCGGUGGAUUAUGUUCUUUAAUUCGAUGAUNACCGAAGAACCUUACCAGGGCUUGACAUCCAGGGAAGGUCUGCGAAAGUAGACUGUGCCUUUUGGAACCCUGUGACAGGUGAUGCAUGGCCGUCGUCAGCUCGUGUCGUGAGAUGUUAGGUUAAGUCCUUCAACGAGCGCAACCCUUGUGANUAGUUGUAUUUUUCUAUUCAGACUGCCCCGGUAACGAGGAGGAAGGAGGGGNAUGAUGUCAGGUCAGUAUUUCCCUUACGUCCUGGGCUAGAAACGUAAUACAAUGGCUAGUACAAUGCGCANCGAANCCGCGAGGUGAA